CACGUAGGGUGCGAGCGUUGUCCGGAAUUAUUGGGCGUAAAGAGCUCGUAGGCGGUGUGUCGCGUCGGCCGUGAAAACCUGCAGCUUAACUGUGGGCUUGCGGUCGAUACGGGCAUCACUGGAGUUCGGCAGGGGGGACUGGAAUUCCUGGUGUAGCGGUGAAAUGCGCAGAUAUCUGGAGGAACACCGGUGGCGAAGGCGGCAUCCUGGACCAAUUCUGACGCUGAUGAGCGAAAGCCAGGGGAGCAAACGGG
rnacentral:rRNA from 1 species